rnacentral:misc_RNA from 1 species
AAUCUUUUUCUGAUAAACCUUGCCAAUGAUUCCUCGCCGCUGCUUCAGGCGUCGCCCAUACGAGCUAGCUGAUCUUGGCCUUUGAACGGGUUGCCAUCCAUCAUCCACUUCAGCAUGUGUUUCCAGCAAUGCUUCAUUGGGAAUGCCUGAUUUCUUCUCAGCAGUCUCUUCCGAAAUGGUUUGCUGGAACUGAACUUGGGCAGA